GAUGAACGCUGGCGGCGUGCCUAACACAUGCAAGUCGAACGGAAGGACCCUAAGUUUGUGGGGUGCUCGAGUGCGGAAGGCGGGAGUGACACGUGAGUAUCCUGCCCUUGUCUUUCGGGGAACAUCACGAAACGGGGGCUAAUACAGUAUAGGAUAUCCUGCAGCGUGGAGGGCAUUGGAAAGUUUCGGCGGUUGUGGAUGGACUAGCGGCUUACGAGCUUGCUGGUGGGGUAGGGGCGUACCAAGGCUUUGACGGGUAGCCGGCCUGAGAGGGUGACCGGCCACAUAGGGACAGGGGUGCGACCCGGACUCCUACGGGCGGAAGCGGUGGGGACUAUUGCGCAAUGGGCGGAGGCCUGAAGCAGCAACGCCGCGUGCGGAAUGACGGCCUUCGGGUAGUAAACCGCUUUCGCCUGUGACGACGCGUGAGGGCCGGAACUGGUUAAAGAGGCACCGGCUACCUCCGG
rnacentral:rRNA from 1 species